rnacentral:rRNA from 1 species
UAUUGCACAAUGGGGGAAACCCUGAUGCAGCGACGCCGCGUGAGUGAAGAAGUAUUUCGGUACGUAAAGCUCUAUCAGCAGGGAAGAAAAAAAGUCCACAGGACUUUGGACGGUACCUGACUAAGAAGCCCCGGCUAACUACGUGCCAGCAGCCGCGGUAAUACGUAGGGGGCAAGCGUUAUCCGGAUUUACUGGGUGUAAAGGGAGCGUAGACGGCUGUGCAAGUCUGAAGUGAAAUGCCGGGGCCCAACCCCGGAACUGCUUUGGAAACUGUACAGCUAGAGUGCAGGAGGGGUGAGCGGAAUUCCUAGUGUAGCGGUGAAAUGCGUAGAUAUUAGGAGGAACACCGGUGGCGAAGGCGGCUCACUGGACUGUAACUGACGUUGAGGCUCGAAAGCGUGGGGAGCAAACAGG